CAGCCACAUUAUGUUGAAACACCGGUUCUCUUUCGAUCAUCGAUGUUAAGCAACGUGGAGGCUGGUCAGUACUUAGGUAGGUGACCUCUUGGGAAUAUUAAGUGCUGUAC